UACGUAGGUGGCAAGCGUUGUCCGGAUUUACUGGGCGUAAAGGGCGUGCAGGCGGUCUGUUAAGUUCAGGGUGAAAGCUCCCGGCUCAACUGGGAGAGGUCCUUGGAUACUGGCAGACUUGAGGGAGGUAGAGGAGAGUGGAAUUCCCGGUGUAGUGGUGAUAUGCGUAGAUAUCGGGAGGAACACCAGUGGCGAAGGCGGCUCUCUGGGCCUUUUCCUGACGCUGAGACGCGAAAAGCGUGGGGGAGCGAACCGG
rnacentral:rRNA from 1 species